CCUACGGGUGGCAGCAGUGAGGAAUAUUGGUCAAUGGUCGGGAGACUGAACCAGCCAAGCCGCGUGAGGGAUGAAGGUACAGAGUAUCGUAAACCUCUUUUGUCAGGGAACAAAGGCGGGGACGCGUCCCCGGAUGAGUGUACCUGAAGAAAAAGCAUCGGCCAACUCCGUGCCAGCAGCCGCGGUAAUACGGAGGAUGCGAGCGUUAUCCGGAUUUAUGGGGUGAAAAGGGUGCGCAGGCGGUCUGUUAAGUCAGCGGUCAAAGCCCGGGGCUCAACCCCGGCCCGCCGUUGAAACUGGCAGUCUCGAGUUGGAGAGAAGUAUGCGGAAUGCGCGGUGUAGCGGUGAAAUGCAUAGAUAUCGCGCAGAACUCCGAUUGCGAAGGCAGCAUGCCGGCUCCACACUGACGCUGAGGCACGAAAGCGUGGGUAUCGAACAGGAUUAGAUACCCGGGUAGUC
rnacentral:rRNA from 1 species